rnacentral:rRNA from 1 species
AGCCGCGGUAAGACAGAGGGGGCAAGCGUUGUCCGGACUUACUGGGCGUACAGCGCGCGCAGGCGGCCGCGUAUGUGACCGGUGACAUUUUCCCGCUCAACGGGAAACGGCCCGGUUAGACAGCGGGGCUGGAGUGAGGGAGAGGGAUGUGGAAUACCCGGUGGAGCGGUGAAAUGCGUAGAGAUCGGGUGGAACACCAGCGGCGAAGGCGGCAUCCUGGCCCUUGACUGACGCUGAGGCGCGAUAGCGUGGGGAGCAAAC